GAUGAACGCUGGCGGCUUUCCUAAUACAUGCACGUCGAGCGAACGGACGAGGAGCUUUCUUUUCUGAUGUUAGCGGCGGACGUUUUCUUAACCCUUGGCUAACCUACCUAUACGACUGUGUUCACUUCAGGAAACCGGAGCUAAUACCGGAUAAUAUUUUGAACCGCAUGGUUCUAAAGUGAAAGACGGUCUUUCUUUCCCUUAUAGAUGUAUCCGCGCUGCAUUAGCUAGUUGGUAAGGUAACGGCUUACCAAGGCAACGAUGCAUAGCCGACCUGAGAGAGUGAUCGGACACACUAGAAGUGGGACAGGGUCCAGACGCCUACGGGAGGCAGGAGUAGGGAAGCUGCCGGAAUGGGCGAAAGCGUGAGGGAGAAACGCCGCGUGAGUGAUGAGGGUCUCCGGAUCGUAAAGCUCUGUUAAGAGGGAAGAACAGAUGUGGAAGUAACUGUGCAGAGCUGGACGGGACUUAAUCAGAAAGAGACGACUAACUAAGUG
rnacentral:rRNA from 1 species